rnacentral:rRNA from 1 species
GACGAACGCUGGCGGCGUGCCUAAUACAUGCAAGUUGAGCGAUGAAGAUUGGUGCUUGCACCAAUUUGAAGAGCAGCGAACGGGUGAGUAACGCGUGGGGAAUCUGCCCUUGAGCGGGGGACAACAUUUGGAAACGAAUGCUAAUACCGCAUAACAACUUUAAACAUAAGUUUUAAGUUUGAAAGAUGCAAUUGCAUCACUCAAAGAUGAUCCCGCGUUGUAUUAGCUAGUUGGUGAGGUAAAGGCUCACCAAGGCGAUGAUACAUAGCCGACCUGAGAGGGUGAUCGGCCACAUUGGGACUGAGACACGGCCCAAACUCCUACGGGAGGCAGCAGUAGGGAAUCUUCGGCAAUGGACGAAAGUCUGACCGAGCAACGCCGCGUGAGUGAAGAAGGUUUUCGGAUCGUAAAACUCUGUUGGUAGAGAAGAACGUUGGUGAGAGUGGAAAGCUCAUCAAGUGACGGUAACUACCCAGAAAGGGACGGCUAACUACGUG